ensembl:misc_RNA Y_RNA Y RNA
GGCUGGUCCGAUGGCAGUGGGUUAUCAGAACUUAUUAACAUUAGUGUCACUAAAGUUGGUAUACCACCCCCCCACGGCUAAAUUUGACUGAUUUUUU